rnacentral:rRNA from 1 species
AGAGUUUGAUCCUGGCUCAGGAUAAACGCUGGCGGCGUGCCUAACACAUGCAAGUCGAACGCUCUCUGGGCAACCAGAGGGAGUGGCGGACGGGUGAGGAACACGUGGGUCAUCUACCUCUCAGUGAGGAAUACCGGCGAGAAAUCGCCGACAAGACCGCAUAGCCUUCGCGCGCUCGGGAGAGGGCGAAGGAAAGCUCU